rnacentral:tRNA from 1 species
GCCAUGGUGGCCCAACAGUUAAGCGCUUGACUGCUAACCAAAAGGUUGGUGGUUCGAACCCACCCAGAGGCU